CCUCAUCUUGGUAGUGCACCAGCGAAAGGAGAGGCGGCGCCUGAGCUUCUGCGUUUGGGUGUGUCUAACAUUGAGAUUUAGGAUUUCUGAUUUGCUGUAGUUGUAGCGUCGUGGCCGGGUGUUGUACUAUAAAGAGAAGGUCAUCCGCAUAUGCCAGGACUUUGUGUUGCGAUCGGCCUAUACUGAGUCUGUGGAUCGCCUCAUUGCCUCUGAUGUUAUUGAGGAAUGGCUCUAGGGAUAGUGCAAAGAGCAAGGGGGAUA